UACUAGAGUAGCACUCGCAUAUCAAUAAGUGGAGGAAAAGAAACUAACAAGGAUUCCCCUAGUAACGGCGAGUGAAGCGGGAAGAGCUCAAAUUUGAAAUCUUAAAGGGUUUCCCUUUACGAAUUGUAGUUUAAAGAAGUGUUUUCUGUUGAGGUUUUGGUAAAAGUUCUUUGGAAUAGGACAUCAUAGAGGGUGAGAAUCCCGUAUUUGACCUUUACUUUCAACUUUGUGAUACACUUUCAAAGAGUCGGAUUGUUUGGGAAUGCAGUCCAAAAUGGGUGGUAAAUUUCAUCUAAAGCUAAAUAUUGGCGAGAGACCGAUAGCGAACAAGUACCGUGAGGGAAAGAUGAAAAGAACCUUUGAAAAGAGAGUUAAACAGUACGUGAAAUUGUCAAAAGGGAAGCGUUUGACACCAGUGUUGUUUUUCUGAAAAUCAAUUAAAGAACUGUUUAUGCUAAGUUGUUUAGACUUUAUCAGCUAUCUGCUUAGUUUUGAGCUUUUCUUUAAUGCACUUUUCAGUUAACAAGUCAACAUCAAUUUCUUUUGCUGUAAAAAAGCUUGAGGAAGGUGGCUUGAGAUUCGUCUUAAGUGUUUAUAGCCUCUUGCCUAUGCAGUCGGAGAGAUUGAGGUCUGCAGCGUAGAUCCUUCGGGGCUAAAUGCAUUUGUGCUAAGUUAUAGCAUUUUAUAGACAACUUGUUGACUAUGAUUUGUCUUGUAGCUUACUCGCUUAUGUUAUUUUACCUACGCUUAGGAUGUUGAACUCUAUCACACACAG
rnacentral:rRNA from 1 species